CACCAGUGCUCCACACAGGAUCCGAGUAGCUGAGACGUGAUCAGCCAGUGGGUUAGCCUCAGCGGGAAUCCUGGGAACGGGACAUCCAAGCCCUGAAAAACAUGGAGUUCACUUGCAUGUCUUUGGACUGUGGGAGACAACCAGAGCUCCCAGGGGAAACCCACACAGACACGGGAAGAACAUGCACACAAAAAAGGACUCGGACCACCCCACCUGGGAAUCAAACCCAGGAUCUUCUUGCUGUGAGGUGACAGUGCUACCCACCGAGCCACAGCCCCAUACGUGACUGCGGUCCAGUAGAUGGAGCCCACCAUGAUGCCAGCUGCAGCAAAUGGACAUGCUUUGGAGAUGAGCCUGUCUGCCAGAUCCAGCACAUACACAAUAGGUCCUGCACAG